rnacentral:rRNA from 1 species
UAUGGGGGGGGGCAAGCGUUGUUCGGAAUUACUGGGCGUAAAGGGCUCGUAGGCGGCCAACUAAGUCGGAUGUGAAAUCCCCAAGCUUAACUUGGGAACUGCAUCCGAUACUGGAUGGCUUGAAUCCGGGAGAGGGAUGCAGAAUUCCAGGUGUAGCGGUGAAAUGCGUAGAUAUCUGGAGGAAUACCGGUGGCGAAGGCGGCAUCCUGGACCGGCAUUGACGCUGAGGAGCGAAAGCUAGGGGAGCAAACGGG